rnacentral:rRNA from 1 species
ACGGAAGGCAGCAGUGGGGAAUAUUGCACAAUGGGGGAAACCCUGAUGCAGCGACGCCGCGUGAGCGAAGAAGUAUUUCGGUAUGUAAAGCUCUAUCAGCAGGGAAGAAAAUGACGGUACCUGACUAAGGAGCCCCGGCUAACUACGUGCCAGCAGCCGCGGUAAUACGUAGGGGGCAAGCGUUAUCCGGAUUUACUGGGUGUAAAGGGAGCGUAGACGGCAAGGUAAGUCUGAAGUGAAAUGCCGGGGCUCAACCCCGGAACUGCUUUGGAAACUAUCUCGCUCGAGUACCGGAGGGGUAAGCGGAAUUCCUAGUGUAGCGGUGAAAUGCGUAGAUAUUAGGAGGAACACCAGUGGCGAAGGCGGCUUACUGGACUGUAACUGACGUUGAGGCUCGAAAGCGUGGGGAGCAAACAGGAUUAGAUACCCUGGUA